rnacentral:rRNA from 1 species
CACGUAGGGCGCAAGCGUUGUCCGGAAUUAUUGGGCGUAAAGAGCUCGUAGGCGGUCUGUUGCGUCCGCUGUGAAAACUCGGGGCUUAACCCCGAGCCUGCAGUGGAUACGGGCAGACUAGAGGUAGGUAGGGGAGAAUGGAAUUCCCGGUGUAGCGGUGAAAUGCGCAGAUAUCAGGAGGAACACCAAUUGCGAAGGCAGCUCGCUGGGACGUUACUGACGCUGAGACGCGAAAGCGUGGGGAGCAAACAGG